rnacentral:hammerhead_ribozyme from 1 species
AUACAGCCGAAGAGUCUGAAAACUAAGACGAAACAGCUGUCCAGUAU